GCCUUCGUGGUGUAGUGGUCAGCACGCUCGGCGCGUAUUCGAGAGGUCCGUGGUUCGAGUCCAGGCGAAGGUA
rnacentral:tRNA from 1 species